ACGCAGCGAAGGGCGAUAAGUAAUGUGAAUUGCAAAAUUCAGUGAAUCAUCGAAUCUUUGAACGCACAUUGCGCCCUGUGGUAUUCCGCAGGGCAUGCCUGUUCGAGCGUCAUUUAACCAAUCCAGCCUCGUGCUUGGGUCUUGGGCCUUUCGCCUCCGGGCGGGCCUCAAAAUCAGUGGCGGUGCCUUCUGGCUCUAAGCGUAGUAAUACUCCUCGCUAUAGAUGUUAGAUGGUGUCUUGCCAAUAACCCCUAAUUUUUAAAGGUUGACCUCGGAUCAGGUAGGGAUACCCGCUGAACUUAA
rnacentral:rRNA from 1 species